rnacentral:SRP_RNA from 1 species
CAAGGCUUGGGCGGCGGCACGCUCCGAACCUGGUCAGGUCUUGACGGAAGCAGCCAUAAGGACCCUCUGCCGAGCGCCCAAGCCACCUCU